rnacentral:lncRNA from 1 species
AGGCUUUGUCAUUCUAUAAUGAGUGAGGAAUGGGAGAUAAGACUUGGGCAGCGAGUUCAAUAUUGCAUCUUUCCCAAGCUGCUCAUGCAAGGAAAAGCCGAGCUUGCUCAAUCGUUCCAUCAGCUCGAUCAUGUACAAUACAUGAUCAGUGACAGAGGCACCAUCCCGCAUUUUGGCGUUGAAGAUGGCACAACUAGUCUUGUGCCUCUCCA